GCCAGUGUGGCACAGUGGUUUGAGUGUUGAUCUAGGACUGUGGAGACCAGGGUUCAAAACCCUGCUGAGCCA
rnacentral:tRNA from 1 species